CACACAGGUGCUGCAUGGCUGUCGUCAGCUCGUGUCGUGAGAUGUUGGGUUAAGUCCCGCAACGAGCGCAACCCUUGCCAUUAGUUGCUACGAAAGGGCACUCUAAUGGGACUGCCGGUGACAAACCGGAGGAAGGUGGGGAUGACGUCAAGUCCUCAUGGCCCUUAUAGGUGGGCUACACACGUCAUACAAUGGCUGGUACAGAGGGUUGCCAACCCGCGAGGGGGAGCUAAUCCCAUAAAGCCAGUCGUAGUCCGGAUCGCAGUCUGCAACUCGACUGCGUGAAGUCGGAAUCGCUAGUAAUCGCGGAUCAGAAUGUCGCGGUGAAUACGUUCCCGGGUCUU
rnacentral:rRNA from 1 species